rnacentral:lncRNA from 1 species
UGAUGGAGCACCCAACUGCCCAGCUGUGGGCUGACAGGAUAGUGUGGGUGGUUGAGGGUUGAGCUGGCUUUUGAAGUGUACAGAGAAUUCGCCAGCCAGAUAAGAGCGGAACGCAUCUGAGAGUGAAAAGAUUAUGCAAAGGCUCAGGCGUAUAAAAGAACCAUGUCACAUUCAGGAACUCUGAGGAGUGAGGAGUAGCAAGAGAGCAGUGGGUACUUGGAGCAAAUACGAUUGGAGACAAGGCUGGUGAGGCAGGCGGGAGAAAGCAGGGCUCAGUGUGCCCUGUACUGGAAUCUGCUCUUGCUCUGGGUUGAAGAUAGCAAGUGCAUCUCUGGGCAACUACUGCAGCUGGCUGUGGGGGACUGAUGCAUACUGUUGAGGCUGAUCUUACUCUGUCUCCUCUCUAUAAUCAAAAUGUGUCUCUGGAAGCUACUUCCCACCAUCCCUUGGCCAUUGGCACCUGGGCUUCUCACCUGUUCUGCUCUCCGCUGUGACUUUAUUGCUGAGAUCUCCACUGUGAGUUACCACCCACAGCACGUACUUCCUUCCAGGAACAAGGCCUUGAAACCGCCACUCCGUCAGGUCCUUGUCUUUCCAGUUUUCCUUCUUUGUGCCAUUGGGAUUAUAGAGAAUCAGCUCAUAAAAGUCAAAGUCCCCAGAGGCUGGACUCCAGUUGAACCAAAGGCUGUCUGUCGUGUUCCGAUUGGACCCCCUGAGAUGACUCACAGAGGCUGGGACUUAAACAGAAGAAAAAUUGUUACUGAGAACAAAACAGAAACACAGGCAUUUUGGCCCACAGAUCUCUAUUAAGAGAAAAAUACAAAGAAUAAAUGAGUAAGGCUCUUGAAACCAUUGAAUUGUACAAACUUUGGUGGUUUUAAAUCUGGAUUUGUGAAUAGCUGAGCCCGUUCACUGUCCCAUUUUGGAGAACCAUGAGGCAUUCUACAAUCUAGCCCUUCUCCAGGUGGAUGCUUACCUGUCCGCCCAACCACAUUUAUCUGAUUCUUCAGGGACCCGCUGACUGAGGCAAUCAUGAUCUGGUACUGCUCCCCGGCCUCCAGUCUGUGGAACGUGUGCUCAAAGACGUGCUUGGGAAUAGUCUGAGAGUCAACCUUUUGACUGUGCCUGAAUGCCGACACCGUGUAGGAAUCAACGUCUCCCCCACCAGGAGUCCAGUUCACCGUCAGGCUAUCUGUUGCUCCAUUGGGAGAAAUGUGAAUAUUUUUGACAGCACUAGGAACUAAAACAGAAAAUAAAUUUAAAAGUCAUCACUUAGAGAAUGAACUGUUGAAAUUUUCAAACAAAGUUUUGAAUGCUUCUGAUGUUUUGGCACCCACUGAGAGAACUCACAUGAAAAAGAAAGUAACAAUUUGCCACUUUUCUCUGAUUUUUCUGUGUGAACUAAAGUUGAUGGGGGAAAGCUUAGGGGGAAGUCAAAGCCGGUUGGACAACAUCAUUGUCACUAUCAACAUGACUUUGUCCCUUCUUGCUGUCUCCCUUUUAUCCCUCCAAAUGCUCAAUCGAAAUACCUGAACUACCCGAAAGUUAAAUGCACCACUGCAUCUAUUCAGGUUCAAGAACAGUAUUUCACAUUACCUGUGAAGCCCUCAAUGAAGGCUGACUGCUGUACAUCCCCGCUAAUCGUCAAGACAAGAAUUUUGUAUUGGCGGCCUGGUGUUAGGGAAGUAAAUCGAUACUCGGUUGCGGUAUUUACAAGGUGAAAAGGAGGAAAUACUUUCAUGUCAUUGAAGAGCAGCUGGAUCUCAUAUUGGUCGACAUCCCCAUUAGCUCCUGACCAAGUCACAUGCAAGUCCUCAGUGCUCCUGUUGCGCAAUGUUAGAUCCUUAACAGGCUCUGGAACUAGGGAGAAAAAUGAGAAGACAUUUCAGGAAAGGAACUGAUCAGAGUUUACCUACAUAAUAAUUUAUGAAUCACAUUCAAGGAACUGGCAACAUCUCCCUUCCCCAAAUAAACCACUAGCACUACUUCAUGCAUAAUUAAACAAGAAAAAUUGGAAGCAACUAUUAACAUUGUGGUUUUUUCCUGACAUAAAUGUUACAUGAUCAGCAUUGGUAGAACAUAAUUAUAAAAUGAGUUAUGAUCUCAAUCAUAAGAUAAAACAAGAAGUCUAGAAUCUAAAUGCCAUGAUGCAGGAAGAUAGGGAAGAAAAAUGGGACAUUUAGCCUUCUUGCUCCCUCACUAUGUUUGCUUUUAUCUACCAAUAAAUAUUCUGUAAUUAUAGGCCAUGGCUUGGCUGAAUGAUGUUAGCACCAAGUGAGACUUACUGGGAAUGUAAUGUACUAAUGAAUAAGCAGAAAAAAUUCAAGGUUCAGAUAAAUUACUAGAGACUUUCAAGUCCAACCAACUGUCAGAUUUUGCAAUCGUUC